rnacentral:rRNA from 1 species
AUGAGAAAAGAGUGGCCCUUACCUGCAGAGAAAUCCUUUAGGAACACCUGGAGUGAUUGGCUGCAGGUGCUCUUGGACACGGAACCGGAGAAUAUGCGAGCGAAACUUUUGCUGCUGUUAUGGAGAUGUUGGCACUUGAGGGAGAACACUCUAAGACACAAUGGCAGGGAAUCAAUCACGAGUUCUGUGAUUUUUCUGAGGAAGUAUACCGAAGAUCUACAAAUGGCGGCGAUACCAAGGGAUGGGUUCAGUACAAACGCAGGGAGUAACCCCUUCUGUUCCACGAAGCAAUGCUCGAAGUGGUCGGGUCCAGAACGAGAUGCUGUGAAGCUGAAUACAGAUGCAGCCUUCCAGGCUGGAUCUGGCGUCUCUGCUACAGGUGCAGUCGCCAGGGACAGUAGUGGACAUGUGGUCGUGUCAAUUAGCAGAAAACUGCCCCCCAGCCGAACUGUUGAGGAGGCCGAGGCAAAAGCUGCUCUUGCUGAACUGCAUACCCUCGCAAAAUACUUCAUAGGACCUUCCAAUUCUAGAGGGCAUGCGAACUUCUUGAAUAUAAUAUAUGUCUGGAUGAGAUGCACUAGCUACCUCUACUAG